rnacentral:rRNA from 1 species
GACAGAGGCCUCGAGCGUUAGGCGGAAUCACUGGGCUUAAAGCGCGUGUAGGCGGACCGUUAAGUACCUUGUGAAAUCCCACGCUCAACCGUGGAACUGCUGGGUAUACUGGCGGUCUUGGGCCACUCAGGGGUCGCCGGAACAAGCGGUGGAGCGGUGAAAUGCGUAGAUAUCGCUUGGAACGCCAAAGGUGAAGACAGGCGACUGGGAGUGCGCCGACGCUGAGACGCGAAAGCCAGGGGAGCGGACGGG